UACAGAGGGUGCAAGCGUUAAUCGGAAUUACUGGGCGUAAAGCGUGCGCAGUCGGUUAUUUAAGUCGGAUGUGAAAUCCCCGGGCUCAACCUGGGAAUUGCAUUCGAUACUGGAUAGCUAGAGUUCGGCAGAGGGAAGUGGAAUUUCAGGUGUAGCGGUGAAAUGCGCAGAUAUCAGGAGGAACACCGGUGGCGAAGGCGGGUCUCUGGGCCGAUACUGACGCUGAGGAGCGAAAGCGUGGGGAGCGAACAGG
rnacentral:rRNA from 1 species